UACGUAGGGACCAAGCGUUGUCCGGAAUCAUUGGGCGUAAAGAGCGUGUAGGCGGCUUGUUAAGUCUUGCGUGAAAUCUCGGGGCUCAACCCCGAGCGGUCGUGAGAAACUGGCAGGCUAGAGUGCGGGAGAGGAGAGUGGAAUUCCUGGUGUAGCGGUGAAAUGCGCAGGUAUCAGGAAGAACACCCGUGGCGAAGGCGGCUCUCUGGAACGCAACUGACGCUGAGACGCGAAAGCGUGGGGAGCAAACAGG
rnacentral:rRNA from 1 species